GACGAACGCUGGCGGCGUGCUUAACACAUGCAAGUCGAACGAAGUGGCGAACGGGUGAGUAACGCGUAAUCAACCUGCCCUUCAGCGGGGGACAACAGUUGGCAACGACUGCUAAUACCGCAUACUGAAGGCGGGGAUUGCGUCGGAUUCGCGAGUUGGAGGGGUAACGACCAGCCAAGGCGAUGCUCAGUAGCCGGUCUGAGAGGAUGAACGGUCACAUUGGGACUUGGACACGGCCCAGACUCAUACGGGAGGCAGCAGGGGGGAAGCUUCCGCAAUGGACGAAAGUCUGACGGAGCAACGCCGCGGGAGUGAUGACGGCCUUCGGGUUGUAAAGCUCUGUUAAUCGGGACGCGGUACCGGAAUAGAAAGCCACGGCUAACUACGUGCCAGCAGCCGCGGUAAUAC
rnacentral:rRNA from 1 species